rnacentral:rRNA from 1 species
UCUGUGAUGCCCUUAGAUGUUCUGGGCCGCACGCGCGCUACAAUGAGAGACGCAAUGUGCCCGCAACGCCUGACCCGAAAGGGUUGGGUAAUCAUUUGAAUUUCUCUCGUAAUAGGGAUUGAGCAUUGUAAUUAUUGCUCAUGAACGAGGAAUUCNUAGUAAGCGCGAGUCAUAAGCUUGCGUUGANUACGUCCCUGCCCUUUGUACACACCGCCCGUCGCUACUACCGAUUGAAUGGUUUAGCGAGAUUCUCGGAUCGGACCUCGAUCGUGCGCAAGCAUGGACGAGGCCUGAGAAGAAACUCAAGCUUGAUCAUUUAGAGGAAGUAAAAGUCGUAACAGGUUUC